CCUACGGGAGGCUGCAGUGGGGAAUAUUGGACAAUGGGCGAAAGCCUGAUCCAGCCAUGCCGCGUGUGUGAAGAAGGCCUUCGGGUUGUAAAGCACUUUCAGUGGGGAAGAAAGCCUUGGGGCUAAUACCCUCGAGGAAGGACAUCACCCACAGAAGAAGCACCGGCUAACUCCGUGCCAGCAGCCGCGGUAAUACGGAGGGUGCGAGCGUUAAUCGGAAUUACUGGGCGUAAAGCGCGCGUAGGCGGUCUGAUAAGCCGGUUGUGAAAGCCCCGGGCUCAACCUGGGAACGGCAUCCGGAACUGUCAGGCUAGAGUGCAGUAGAGGAAGGUAGAAUUCCCGGUGUAGCGGUGAAAUGCGUAGAGAUCGGGAGGAAUACCAGUGGCGAAGGCGGCCUUCUGGACUGACACUGACGCUGAGGUGCGAAAGCGUGGGUAGCAAACAGGAUUAGAUACCCUGGUAGUC
rnacentral:rRNA from 1 species